rnacentral:tRNA from 1 species
AUUUACUUUCAGAAAAUAGUUUAACAAAAAUAAAAGCCUUGGGAGCUUUAGAUUUAAUCA